AACAAGUCAAGUAUGGAUUGUUUUGGUGUAUUACAUUGGCUUCGAGACACAAAAUGGGAGAUCAGUGUUAAGAUCACACGACGAACAAAUGAUGGGGACCGGGGUUGGACUCAAGGCGGGUUCGCGGCCGAGGGCCCGAGCACGUCACAAUUGGUCCAGUUGAUGAAAUUUCUUCAAAGAAAAAUGAGGUUAAUGUUCAUAAUGAUCUUCACUCUUAAUGUUUAAAACAGUGAAUCUCAAUAUUUUUGAAGUCAUGGCACACUUUUGAUUAUAAAAAUGUUUUGCAGAAUACUUAAAGCAAAAAUGUAUAUAUAAGAUGAUUCAUCCUGAAUUUCAUGAACG
rnacentral:lncRNA from 1 species